GGGCGAUUAGCUCAGUUGGGAGAGCACCUCCCUUACAAGGAGGGGGUCACUGGUUCGAGCCCAGUAUCGCCCACCA
rnacentral:tRNA from 8 species